GAUGAACGCUGGCGGCGUGCUUAACACAUGCAAGUCGAACGAUUAAGACCCCUUCGGGGGUGUAUAGAGUGGCGAACGGGUGAGUAACACGUGGGCUACCUGCCCCUUCCUCUGGGAUAACACGGAGAAAUCCGUGCUAAUACCGGAUACUCCAUAUCUGCGGCAUCGCGGAUAUAGGAAAGCCCCGACGGGAAGGGGUGGGCCCGCGGUCCAUUAGCUAGUCGGUGGGGUAACGGCCUACCGAGGCGACGAUGGAUAGCCGGGUUGAGAGACCGACCGGCCACAUUGGGACUGAGACACGGCCCAGACUCCUACGGGAGGCAGCAGUGGGGAAUUUUGCGCAAUGGGGGAAACCCUGACGCAGCAACGCCGCGUGCGGGAUGAAGGCCUUCGGGUUGUAAACCGCUUUCAGCAGGGAAGAAUACAGACGGUACCUGCAGAAGAAGCUCCGGCUAACUACGUGCCAGCCGCCGCAGUAA
rnacentral:rRNA from 1 species